UGCAGUCGAACGGUCUCUUCGGAGGCAGUGGCAGACGGGUGAGUAACGCGUGGGAACAUACCUUUCGGUACGGAACAACAGUUGGAAACGACUGCUAAUACCGUAUACGCCCUAUGGGGGAAAGAUUUAUCGCCGAGAGAUUGGCCCGCGUUGGAUUAGCUAGUUGGUGAGGUAAUGGCUCACCAAGGCGACGAUCCAUAGCUGGUCUGAGAGGAUGAUCAGCCACACUGGGACUGAGACACGGCCCAGACUCCUACGGGAGGCAGCAGUGGGGAAUCUUGGACAAUGGGCGCAAGCCUGAUCCAGCCAUGCCGCGUGAGUGAUGAAGGCCUUAGGGUCGUAAAGCUCUUUCGCCAGAGAUGAUAAUGACAGUAUCUGGUAAAGAAACCCCGGCUAACUCCGUGCCAGCAGCCGCGGUAAUACGGAGGGGGUUAGCGUUGUUCGGAAUUACUGGGCGUAAAGCGCACGUAGGCGGAUCAGAAAGUAUAGGGUGAAAUCCCAGGGCUCAACCCUGGAACUGCCUUGUAAACUCCUGGUCUUGAGUUCGAGAGAGGUGAGUGGAAUUCCGAGUGUAGAGGUGAAAUUCGUAGAUAUUCGGAGGAACACCAGUGGCGAAGGCGGCUC
rnacentral:rRNA from 1 species